UAAAAAUUAUAUCUGCGAAUGGAGGAGUAUUUAUUUGUUUGUUGUUGGAACAAAUACGAAUGAUUCUUUGCUCGACCUAACAGAUAGGGCAAAAUAUCCGUUGGUUACCAAUUGCCAGCAGUCUUCUUCUUCUUCGUUACGUAAUUGUUGUGUACGUACAUCACCAAUUUGGGAUCGCUAUGGAUACUGACAAAGGAGAGUCUGGUAAUGGCAAGCAGAGGAUAGUAGUCUCUCAAGAAGAAGGUAAAGAUAUAAAGAAGUGUUUGGAGGAAAACAAUGGCGACGAUAACAAAUGCAAGUCAAAGAUUGAUUCUUUCCAUUCUUCUUACUCCAAUUCUCGCCCAAGAAAGCGGUUGCCACCUCUAAGGCUUGGAAGGGGAUCGUUGACUGAUGUCUGAAACAAGUAGUGGUAUGUAUGUGGUAACCCAUUUUUAUUAUUUUAUGAAUGUACAAAUCAUUCUACUAUGGAUAUUAGGUGUUUCUUGGAAUCAGGUGUUUCUUGGAAUCUAUCUUUUUUGGAGGCUUUUAAUUUGUUUCCUUUGUAACAAAAUGUACAAUCUUUCUUGAAAGUAAUUAAUAGAUUAAUCACCUAGUUCCUCA